GAUGAACGCUGGCGGCGUGCCUAAUACAUGCAAGUCGAGCGAACAGAUGAGGAGCUUGCUCCUCUGACGUUAGCGGCGGACGGGUGAGUAACACGUGGAUAACCUACCUAUAAGACUGGGAUAACUUCGGGAAACCGGAGCUAAUACCGGAUAUUAUAUUGAACCGCAUGGUUCAAUAGUGAAAGACGGUUUUGCUGUCACUUAUAGAUGGAUCCGCGCCGCAUUAGCUAGUUGGUAAGGUAACGGCUUACCAAGGCAACGAUGCGUAGCCGACCUGAGAGGGUGAUCGGCCACACUGGAACUGAGACACGGUCCAGACUCCUACGGGAGGCAGCAGUAGGGAAUCUUCCGCAAUGGGCGAAAGCCUGACGGAGCAACGCCGCGUGAGUGAUGAAGGUCUUCGGAUCGUAAAACUCUGUUAUUAGGGAAGAACAAAUGUGUAAGUAACUAUGCACGUCUUGACGGUACCUAAUCAGAAAGCCACGGCUAACUACGUG
rnacentral:rRNA from 1 species